rnacentral:lncRNA from 1 species
GAACCAUGCAAACCAUAUUGAAGGAUGUAUGGUUCAUAGUUUCUUAAGGCGUAAUACAUAAACAAACACUUGAGCACACCUAGACACCUCAACUUGUCUUCACUGUGUUAGUUGAACAAUCCAACUUACAAAAUGAUCAUCUAGACACUUACAAAAUUUAUUAGACACUUCCAAAAUUUAUGUGACACGUCAUCAUAGCGUGUCCACGAGACACAGUGGGGACGAGUUGGAAUGUUUAGUUGCCAUUUGAGACCAAGUUGAGGUGUCUAGAUGUGCACUCUCAAAGUUGAAGUGCUUACCUGCCAGCAGGGGCCAAAUUUGACUGUCCGUUUAUACAUUAUACUGUUUCUUUAUGAUUUUAAAUAUGUAGUUUAUGAGCCCGGUAUUUAAGUGGAGAAGGGUAGAGGGGCGGGGCCCAUUAUCCAUCGAGUUUAGAAGGCUGUGAUUGGUCCAAAAGGGCGGGUCACAGAUGGAUUUCUCGGUUAUCAAAAAUAAAAUAAAAUAUGUAGUUAUGAGCCCGGUAUUUUAAGUGGAGAAGGGUAGAGGGGCGGGCCCAUUAUCCAUCGAGUUUAGAAGGCUGUGAUUUGGUCCAAAGGGCGGGUCACAGAUGGAUUUCUCGGUUAUCAAAAUAAAAUAAAAUAUGUAGUUUAUGAAGUGAGAUAUUCUCAUUCUAGAUAUUCUUCACAUCCCAAAUCUUUCAGAAAAG